CUUAAUAGUGUUUUUAGAUUUUUAUGGACAAUUACGAAUUUUCAGCGGCGCUGCCAUUUUCCCGAGUCACAUGACCUACGUGGGCACAUGUGACGUGUUACGUGCCGCAACAAAGGCUCGAUUCCGUGGGACACCAUACUUCCAUAUACAGCUAUGAGCAGUCGCUCAGAUAUUUUCUCAUCUUUCUAUUUCUGAAAAAUGUGCUUGUUUCUGCCCUACUGAUAUGUGACUGUUUUUCAUGCUUUUUAGGCUAUGGAUUUGGUUCCUGGAUUGGCUUUCAGAGGGGUGAAAUGCCACAUCAUCGGUGGUAGAGAUGAUCCAGAUCUUCUUCCGGUUGGUCGUAAUUCUUGUCGGACUUCCAUUCAAAAGGAGCGGCAACGUUGUCAUCGUAGUUUUCAUGGUAACUUGGGAACCGGCUUUGCACGUCAGGAUGGUACCAGUCAUCCAAAUCCACUUCAGGUUCCAGGUGACGUCUCACCAGUUCCAGCGACCUCAUCCCAGUCCUGCUCAGGCUCGUCUUCAUCUUCAGCCAGAAGUUUUUGCAAAGAGGGAUGCUGCACAUCGUCCAGGUCUGCUUCUGCCAGCGGAAUGUGUUGGGCAGCCACAUCCUCCCAUAUCUUCAUUUCAG